rnacentral:tRNA from 1 species
UGGGUUGUGGCUCAGUGGUAGAGCUCUUGCCUAGCACACAUGUGGCACUGGGUUUGAUCCUCAGCACCACAU